rnacentral:rRNA from 1 species
UACGAAGGGGGGCUAGCGUUGUUCGGAAUUACUGGGCGUAAAGCGCGCGCAGGCGGUCUUCCAAGUCAGUGGUGAAAGCCCGGAGCUCAACUCCGGAACUGCCAUUGAAACUGUUAGACUUGAGGAUGAGAGAGGUGAGUGGAAUUCCCAGUGUAGAGGUGAAAUUCGUAGAUAUUGGGAAGAACACCGGUGGCGAAGGCGGCUCACUGGCUCAUAUCUGACGCUCAGGCGCGACAGCGUGGGGAUCAAACAGG